CCUACGGGUGGCAGCAGUGAGGAAUAUUGGUCAAUGGGCUUACGCCUGAACCAGCCAAGUCGCGUGAGGGAAGACUGCCCUAUGGGUUGUAAACCUCUUUUGUCAGGGAGCAACGCCGGCUACGUGUAGCCGGACUGAGAGUCUCUGAAGAAAAAGCAUCGGCUAACUCCGUGCAAGCAGCCGCGGUAAUACGGAGGAUGCGAGCGUUAUCCGGUUUUAUUGGGUUUAAAGGGUGCGUAGGCGGAAUGCCAAGUCAGCGGUAAAAGCGCGGGGCUCAACCUCGCUCCGCCGUUGAAACUGGCGUUCUUGAGUGGGCGAGAAGUAUGCGGAAUGCGUGGUGUAGCGGUGAAAUGCAUAGAUAUCACGCAGAACACCGAUUGCGAAGGCAGCAUACCGGCGCCCAACUGACGCUGAAGCACGAAAGCGUGGGUAUCGAACAGGAUUAGAUACCCUAGUAGUC
rnacentral:rRNA from 1 species